UUGCUGACGAGUGGCGGACGGGUGAGUAAUGUCUGGGAAACUGCCUGAUGGAGGGGGAUAACUACUGGAAACGGUGGCUAAUACCGCAUAACGUCGCAAGACCAAAGAGGGGGACCUUCGGGCCUCUUGCCAUCAGAUGUGCCCAGAUGGGAUUAGCUUGUUGGUGAGGUAACGGCUCACCAAGGCGACGAUCCCUAGCUGGUCUGAGAGGAUGACCAGCCACACUGGAACUGAGACACGGUCCAGACUCCUACGGGAGGCAGCAGUGGGGAAUAUUGCACAAUGGGCGCAAGCCUGAUGCAGCCAUGCCGCGUGUAUGAAGAAGGCCUUCGGGUUGUAAAGUACUUUCAGCGGGGAGGAAGGUGUUGUGGUUAAUAACCGCAGCAAUUGACGUUACCCGCAGAAGAAGCACCGGCUAACUCCGUGCCAGCAGCCGCGGUAAUACGGAGGGUGCAAGCGUUAAUCGGAAUUACUGGGCGUAAAGCGCACGCAGGCGGUCUGUCAAGUCGGAUGUGAAAUCCCCGGGCUCAACCUGGGAACUGCAUUCGAAACUGGCAGGCUUGAGUCUUGUAGAGGGGGGUAGAAUUCCAGGUGUAGCGGUGAAAUGCGUAGAGAUCUGGAGGAAUACCGGUGGCGAAGGCGGCCCCCUGGACAAAGACUGACGCUCAGGUGCGAAAGCGUGGGGAGCAAACAGGAUUAGAUACCCUGGUAGUCCACGCCGUAAACGAUGUCUACUUGGAGGUUGUGCCCUUGAGGCGUGGCUUCCGGAGCUAACGCGUUAAGUAGACCGCCUGGGGAGUACGGCCGCAAGGUUAAAACUCAAAUGAAUUGACGGGGGCCCGCACAAGCGGUGGAGCAUGUGGUUUAAUUCGAUGCAACGCGAAGAACCUUACCUGGUCUUGACAUCCACAGAAGAAUCCAGAGAUGGAUUUGUGCCUUCGGGAACUGUGAGACAGGUGCUGCAUGGCUGUCGUCAGCUCGUGUUGUGAAAUGUUGGGUUAAGUCCCGCAACGAGCGCAAC
rnacentral:rRNA from 1 species